rnacentral:rRNA from 1 species
AUUGAACGCUGGCGGCAUGCUUUACACAUGCAAGUCGAACGGUAACAGGCCUUCGGGUGCUGACGAGUGGCGAACGGGUGAGUAAUGCAUCGGAACGUGCCCAGAGGUGGGGGAUAACGCAGCGAAAGCUGUGCUAAUACCGCAUGUGAUCUGAGGAUGAAAGCGGGGGACCAGGCAGCAAUGUUUGGCCUCGCGCCUUUGGAGCGGCCGAUGUCAGAUUAGGUAGUUGGUGGGGUAAAGGCCUACCAAGCCGACGAUCUGUAGCUGGUCUGAGAGGACGACGAGCCACACUGGGACUGAGACACGGCCCAGACUCCUACGGGAGGCAGCAGUGGGGAAUUUUGGACAAUGGGCGCAAGCCUGAUCCAGCAAUGCCGCGUGCGGGAAGAAGGCCUUCGGGUUGUAAACCGCUUUUGUACGGAACGAAAAGGCUCUGGCUAAUACCUGGUGCUGAUGACGGUACCGUAAGAAUAAGCACCGGCUAACUACGUG